rnacentral:misc_RNA from 1 species
CUGAGUGAGGGCCCCUCGGGGUCCAACCUCCCACCCGUGUUUAACGAACCUUGUUGCUUCGGCGGGCCCGCCUCACGGCCGCCGGGGGGCAUCUGCCCCCGGGCCCGCGCCCGCCGAAGCCACCUGUGAACGCUGUCUGAAGUAUGCAGUCUGAGUAUUAUUUUAAUACGUUA